GAUGAACGCUAGCGGCAGGCCUAACACAUGCAAGUCGAGGGGCAGCACAGAAACAGCAAUGUUUUGGUGGCGACCGGCGGACGGGUGCGUAACGCGUAUGCAACCUACCUUUAACAGGGGGAUAACGGAGAGAAAUUUCCACUAAUACCCCAUAACAUCGAUCAAGGCAUCUUGAUUGGUUGAAAACUCCGGUGGUUAAAGAUGGGCAUGCGUUGUAUUAGGUAGUUGGUGAGGUAAUGGCUCACCAAGCCUACGAUACAUAGGGGGACUGAGAGGUUAGCCCCCCGCACUGGUACUGAGACACGGACCAGACUCCUACGAGAGGCAGCAGUGAGGAAUAUUGGUCAAUGGGGGCAACCCUGAACCAGCCAUGCCGCGUGCAGGAAGACGGCUCUAUGAGUUGUAAACUGCUUUUAAACAGGGAUAAAGCACAGUAUGUAUACUGUGUUGAAGGUACUGUAAGAAUAAGGAUCGGCUAACUCCGUGCCAGCCGCCGCGGUAA
rnacentral:rRNA from 1 species